AGGGGUGUAGCUCAAUGGCAGAGUACUUGCCUAACGUACAUGAGGUCCUGGGUUCCAUCCCUAGCGUCACAA
rnacentral:tRNA from 1 species